GUGCUUUUAUACUACCGAGGGAUUGCUUCUCCCUGUUCCAGUACCGAAGAUGGUAUUUGCAAGGCUGUAAACUGCACUUCCAGGCUCCCAGCGGCAGAACUGGAAAAAAACUCCACAGCUCCAUGUCAGCAGGAAGGAGAGGCCAAUCUCUCCUCUACCUCCUCCAAAACCUUCUACCUGAGGUUAGGUCAUAGGACCCCCAUUAACACGCAUCCAGCAGUAUCAAGAGCAGACAUCUCCAGUUCAGUGACAGGCUCUCCAACUGCUGCUGGUCCCAGGAGGUACUUCCUCCCCACAAGGAUAACACCACUGGCAUCCCAUUUAAGAUGGCAAUGACCUACACCCUGGGCACUCGGUCUGACACAGGACUGGGAAACUGCUCACCGCAGAUGCCGCUGCUGCCUGUGCUCAGAGUUCCCCAGAACUGCCCUACCACAUACAACUUGAGUGCCUGGGACAGAGAUGGGGACACCGUGAGGUGCCGCUACGUGCUUGGAGAGCAACUUGGCUGUGCUUUCUGCAGGAAAUAUCCCUUCCUCCUCCUCAAUGAGGAAGUGUGCACUCUAACAUAUGAUGGUACAGGCUUGGAAGGGACCUACCCCUUGGAACUGAUGGCUGAGGAUUUCCCAAGGCAAACAGUGACCCUGACAGCUGGGGCUUGGAUGCAGGAGAUCCAUCCAUACAGUGCUUCAAAUGCAGAAUGGAACCAGGCUCUGAGCUCUGUUCCUCUGCAGUUCACUUUAACAGUGGAAAAGCCAGUGGAGGACUGUUCUUUUGGGAUCAGAAGGCCUACAUUUCUCAGACCAACCCCAGACAACGGGGAAAGGAUCAGCCUCCUGCCAUAUGAAGAGGUUUCCUUUACAGUGGUAGCUGCCAACACAAGAGAAAGGAUGAGUGAUGUGCAGGUCCUGGGUCCCUCUGGGUUGCGCACAUGGGUGCUCACCAAGGAGAGUACCUGCGCUGCAUCUGUGAACAUCACAUGGGAAAACAGCAACGGCAGGAGGCCCUGCCAGGCUUCUGUGUGUUUCGUGGCCACCACGCUGACAGGGUUACAGUCUGAGCUCAGAUGCAUUUGGAUCAUGCAGGCUGCAGGCCACCCACAGGGCAAAGUUCUGCUGUGUCUCCAGGACCGAAUGCAGCUGUCUGUCCCCAGACUGAGCAUAGGAGACAUGCAGGAGGACAAUCUUCAGAGGAGCAACCCUGAGUGCCUAGUGAACAGCAAUAGCACGCACGUGCAGGUGGAGAUACCUCUUGAGAGGUGUGGCACCAGGAGGAAGGAAAAUCCCUCUUUCUUCAUCUUCACCAACAAAAUUACUGGCCACUACAGUAGAGCAUCACCCAGUGCAUUCAGGAAAUCCCUGGCUAUCCCAGUGACCUGCAAAUACAGACAGGAAGAUGACAGUAACAACUAUUGCCCCUCUGUGGGCCAAGAUGACAAAGGCUUUGGCAAUUUCAGCUUUGACAUUAGGUUCAUCAAACCAACUACAGAGGGGAUGACAUGGCUAAAGCAAGGGGCUUCCCUUAAUGCCAGCAUCAAUGACCAGCUCUUGAUCAGCGUCUCAGCCAAAAGUGACUUGGCCAGCGCCCGCUUGGUGGUGCAGUCCUGCCAAGYGCUAGGCAACAAGGAUGCUGUUAAUGCUCCCACCUUCAUCAUACAAAAAGGUUGCUUGAAUUUAAAGGCAGCCAAAGAAGUGAUUUUAGAAGACUCCAAAGACAAGUUGUACAGCUUYCGGCUCUCCUCUGUAGCCAGUACUAUUCCUGAGGUGUUUGUCACCUGUGAUGUGGGACUGUGCUGCAGUCCAAGCAGGUUCAAUCUCUGUCCUGGGUGCCAGUCCUCUCAGAGCCACGGAACAUCAAAGCAGAUCUUGGAGACAAAGCUGUAUCGGAUCAGCACAGGACCCAUUCAGAUCACCAAGAACCCCACCAGUGGGACCAACUAUACAGCUUUGGUGGUGGGUGUGGUGCUGGGAUGCACAGUGACCUGUGUUGUCUUCUUGUUGGUGAAGAAAUCCUUUGUGGGGGUGCAAUACAGGAAUGUUUCUCUACAGCUAUGA
rnacentral:lncRNA from 1 species